rnacentral:rRNA from 1 species
ACGCUCGACACCUACGGGAGCAGCAGUGGGGAAUAUUGCACAAUGGAGGAAACUCUGAUGCAGCGAUGCCGCGUGAGGGAAGAAGGUUUUCGGAUUGUAAACCUCUGUCUUUGGGGACGAUAAUGACGGUACCCAAGGAGGAAGCUCCGGCUAACUACGUCNNNNCGCGAGUAUNGNGGCGGNGNGAGAG